UGCUCUAAAAAUUCUUGUCUUGUUGAAUUUCUACUAAGUUUAGUACCCUUGUUAACUUGGUGUAGUUGGUUUGGAGAAAGGAGACCUUAUUUCAUCAAAGUGAACACAAGUUCAAGUGAAGAAGACUUGAGGAAAAGAUUUUUGACGAAACGGGAAGUGAGUUUGGAAAGGCGUAAAGAGCUUGAAAGGUACUGACGAUAGGUUUGCCGAUCCGUCUGUCUAGGAUAUCUUUUCCGCCAUUUGGAGCGCUCUUUUAUUCAGAGCCAUCUUUUGUUAUGCCUCCAAAAAAGGCGACAGCGGCCCAAAAGGCCAAUGCAGCAGCUGUGGGAGAGACUAGUCGGGCCCAGAGGGUUACCAGGGCCCAUGCUCAUAUUGCUCAUGAUGUUUUGCCCCCGGCAGAGGGCUCUUCCACACCGCCACAU